CCUACGGGUGGCAGCAGUGAGGAAUAUUGGUCAAUGGUCGGGAGACUGAACCAGCCAAGCCGCGUGAGGGAUGAAGGUACAGAGUAUCGUAAACCUCUUUUGUCAGGGAACAAAGGCGGGGACGUGUCCCCGGAUGAGUGUACCUGAAGAAAAAGCAUCUGCUAACUCCGUGCCAGCAGCCGCGGUAAUACGGAGGCUGCGAGCGUUAUCCGGAUUUAUUGGGUUUAAAGGGUGCGCAGGCGGUCUGUUAAGUCAGCGGUAAAAGCCCGGGGCUCAACACCGGCCCGCCGUUGAAACUGGCAGUCUCGAGUUGGAGAGAAGUAUGCGGAAUGCGCGGUGUAGCGGUGAAAUGCAUAGAUAUCGCGCAGAACUCCGAUUGCGAAGGCAGCAUGCCGGCUCCACACUGACGCUGAGGCACGAAAGCGUGGGUAUCGAACAGGAUUAGAUACCCUUGUAGUC
rnacentral:rRNA from 1 species